CACACCCCCUACCUCCCUGCCUACAUUCCACCCAGCCUGACUGCUCUGGAAGGAAGAAUCCCUGCAAGGUGAGUGUUAUUAUAUCCAUUUGUGGACCAGGACUGCGGCUCAGAAGCUUUUCCCAGGACACUGAACUCUGACAGGUGAAUAGCUGCCAAGUGGUGGAGGUUGGCCUGCAGUGAGCAUCAGUCUGACUUCGAAGGACAGAAUGACACAUGGUACAAGCUUUCUGUCUUACUGCCACACGUCAGUGUCCUGGGAGAUGAACCAGAUGCAGGUGAUGCCGAAGAGAUGAUAAAAGUGCUGGCCAGGCGUGGUGGCUCAUGCCUGUAAUCCCAGCACUUUGGGAGGCCGAGGCGGGUGGAUUACCUGAGAUCAGGAGUUCAAGACCAGCCUGGCUAACAUGGCGAAACCCCGUCUCUGCUAAAAAUACAAAAAUUAGCUGGGUGUAGUGGCAUGCACCUGUAAUCCGAGCUAUCCAGGAGACUGAGACAGGAGAAUCGCUUGAACCUGGAGGCAGUAAGCCAAGAUCGCACCAUUGCAUUCCAGCCUAGGCGACAGAGCAAGACUCUGUCUCAAAAAAAAAAAAAAAAAAAAGUGCUCUGACGUUAUAUUAUGGUGUUGGUCGCACAACUUUGUGAAUAUAUGAGAAGUCAUGGAAUUGUAUACUUUCAAUGAAUAAAUUAUAAGGCAUACAAGUUAUAUCUCAAUAAAGCUGUUUGCUAAAUUUGGACGUCACUUUUUUUUUAAACAGCUUUGUUGAGGUAUAACUCUGGUGUUAUACGUUUAGUAUUUGUUUGUUCACCUCUAUCAUAAGCUAUAUAAGCUAUAUGUCUCUUAGGACUGGGAUCAUUUUUAUCAAUUGUUACACCUCCACUUCCUUGUAUAGUACUUUUUGCCCGAAUGUUAAUUUAAAAAUGUUUGUUGAAUGAUACAUUUUAGGCUAAAUGAAUACAGUUUGCAUCAGCAUUAGGGUAGACAUGUCACAUGUAGUCCACUAACCCUCCCCAAGUCUUUUAUGUGAGUUGUUGUUAAGCCAGGGCAAUUCUAUCCUGUACUUGGGCAGAAAUUUCUUGAAAAAAAUCAAAGUUAAGAGUUUACAUUUAUUUUAAAAUUUUUAUCAUGUUAGAACCCAUCAGUCAUUUUAGCCAGUUAAGUGUUUUUUUUUUUUUUUUUUUUUUUUGAGAUGGAGUCUUGCUGUUUUGCCCAGGCUGGAGUGCAGUAGUGCGAUCUUGGCUCACUGCAACAUCUGCCUCCCAGGUUCAAGUGGUUCUCCUGCCUUAGCCUCCCCAGUAGCUGGGGUGACAGGUAUGCACCAUGUUGCCCAAGUUUUUGCAUUAUUUAGUAGAGAUGGGGUUUCACCACAUUGCCCAGGCUGGUCUUGAACUCUUGACGUCAAGUGAUCUGCCCGCCUCGGCCUCCAAAGGUGCUGGGAUUACAGGCAUGAGCCACUGCGCCCAGCCAAGAUUUUCUUGGAUUUUUUUCUCUGUCAUUAAGUGUAGUCUCUAUUUCUACCUGCUUUGUACUACAAACCAAUUUAAAUAAGCAUGCUGUCUUUCUCCAUAAAAACAUUAAACUGUAGAACAAUGUUUUUAUGGAGAAAAAGAGCUAAAGUCACAUGCUGGUGGAGCAUAAAACGCUCACUUGAAGAACACCUUGGUAAUGGCUCCAGCUAACUGUACCAUGACCUAAUCCUGUGGCUGGAACCUCUGGGGAGUCUUAUCCACCUCCCCAAAUCCAUUUGACAAGCUCAGGUCCAAUACCACUUCUUUCAUGGGCUAUUCUCUGAUCUUCUCAGAAUGUCUAUCUUCUAUUGAAUUUGCCACAAUAUUUUGUUUGUACUACUCUUGAGACAUCCCACACAACCUUGAAUUAUAAUUGCUCACAUGGGUGUCUCAGCAUUUAUUCUAGACCAUAAGAUACUUAAAAGGAGGAAUUGUGAUUUCUUUGACAGUUUUGUCUCUUAGAAUUUAAGGGUGAGGGUGCUUAAUAAGUAUUAGAAAUAACGGAUAAGUAAAAUAUUCAGUGCUAUUAAAAAUACUAUUAAAUCUCAACACCUCCAGGGGUUACAUAUCUGAAAAAAGAUAUCAUACAUAUCUAUAUAAAUUCUAAAAUAAAUUGAAAUAGUCCAUAUCAAAAACCCUGCUGGAGUAGGUAACUCUUCACAAUCGACUUCAAUUAUUCAUGAUAUAAUUUUUGCAGGCACAUCAAAAAUUGUAUGUUUAGAGGUUAGAGGAUGAAUCCUCUUACAGUUUUCAAACCAGUCUGUACUAGCUUGAAAUGUAAUGUUUCUUGCACUUGAAUUUUCCCUGCUUUGUGUCUGCCAGUCUUGGCCCAAUGCUUGGGUACUUUUUUUAUGUUAUUGUGGUGCUUACAGGUGUUUUUCCAGCUGUGUUUUUCUAUCCUGAGGUUACAUCGGAGUAUGACAUGAUCAAACCUCUUCUUUGCACCAUGUCACAGAACCACCUUAAUGGAAGAGUGGACAAUAACUAUUGUGGUUUUCUCCUAUUUCAGGUGAUGGAAUGGAACCAUGUGUGUACAAAAAGAUACAGGAAUGUACAUAUUCAGUUUGCAAUAUAAAAACAUACACUGUGAUUGGAGAGGGAUUACAACAUUCUAAUUGCAAUUUUUGUCAUUUAUUCAAUAAAUAUUUCCUGGCUGGGUAUGAUGGCUCAAAGUGCCUGUAAUCCCAGCACUUUGGGAGGCCAAAGCAGGCAAAUCACCUGAGGUCAGGAGUUUGAGACCAGCCUGGCCACCAUGGUGAAACCCCAUCUCUACUAAAAAUACACAAAUUAGCUGGGUGUGGUGGUGCAUGCCUGUAAUCUCAGCUACCUGGGAGGCUGAGGCAGGAGAAUUGCUUGAACUCGGGAGGCGGAGGUUGCAGUGAGCUGAGAUUGCACCACUGCACCCCAGCCUGGGCAACAGAGUGAGACUCUGUCUCAAAACAAACAAACAAACAAACAAACAAAUUCCUGAGUGCCUACCAUAUGCUGAUUAAACUGUUCUAGAUGUUGGAGAUGCAGCUAUGGACAAGACAAAUACAGUCUCUUCUCUCCAGGAAUUUACCUUCUAAUGGAGGAGAGAGACAAAAACAACUUUGUACAUAAACCUUUUCUGAUAGUCAUUAAGAAAAUAAAGCAACAUGGUGUCCAAAUUCUAGAUUGCUCAUUUUAAAGGCUAGGGUGCCUAAAACCACAAGGAACAUUUCAGAAUUAGUAACAUUCAUACUUCGUAGAGCUAUACUUAGGCUAAUAAAUGUUUGGUAUUGUUGCCUCCCCAACAGCCACCUCAGACCACCUCCUGACUCCAAGUUUCCCUGCUCAUCAAUCCAAAAUUUUGUUGAAUAUACUACUUCCCCACCCCCAAUGGAGCUUAAGGGUUAACCUGAACUCUCUAAACCAAUCAGGGCAUUCCUACUGUCUUUGAUCGUGAGUGUUGUAGGCAGAGACAUAUAACCCAAUCCUUGCUAAUGAGACUUGAGGUAGGACCCCAGCUUCCGGAGAGGUUGCCUGGCUCCUAAAAAGAGAAAGAUACCGGAAAAGAGAUGGACUCUUCUACCACUGGAAAUCAGAUGGUGUCCUGAGUGACAUAAGUGUACUUACAACAGCCAUUUUGCAACCAUAAAGAAGCCAGUGGGAAUACACAGGCUACGUGUCCUCGAAGGCACAGAAGAAAGAAGAGAGAAAACUAUAUUCUUGAUGACACAGUUGAGCUACAGAAUUGUCCAACCCCGGAGGUGCCCCACUUCGCGUUGUGGGAGAUAAUGCAUUUUCCUUGCUGUUUAAACCACUUUGAGCUGAGUUUUCUAUUACCAGCAGCCUAAAGCAUUUUGACAGAUAAAAGUAGAUACAAAUGCACAUAUAUAAUGAGCAUCCUGACUGAACGAUUAAAUGUGUAUGUAGGCAUGCAUUACCUCCCCACUCCAUUUAUGAUUGUCACAUUUAUUUUUACUUCAGGGAAAAGCAACUAUAGAAUUUAAAAAAUCAGGAUUGAAAACAAAUACCUGAAUUUCCUACAAUUAAAAAAUCAAUCCAUUAAGUAGUGGUAUUAUGCUAAAAUAAAAUGAAUGCUUAGAAAUUUGUUAAGUGUUUAUGAUGUAAUAAGACAUCAAAUAAACCAUUUUUCUUUAAGUUCUUUAAUAAAAAAAAUCUGAUGUGGAGUCCAGUCUUUCAUUUUUAUCACUGGAAUAAAUAGAGAAUAGUCAUUGCAAUCAAUUGCCUGUUUGUUUCCCCAGAG
rnacentral:lncRNA from 10 species